rnacentral:rRNA from 1 species
GAUGAACGCUGGCGGCGUGCCUAAUACAUGCAAGUCGAGCGAAUGGAUUAAGAGCUUGCUCUUAUGAAGUUAGCGGCGGACGGGUGAGUAACACGUGGGUAACCUGCCCAUAAGACUGGGAUAACUCCGGGAAACCGGGGCUAAUACCGGAUAACAUUUUGAACCGCAUGGUUCGAAAUUGAAAGGCGGCUUCGGCUGUCACUUAUGGAUGGACCCGCGUCGCAUUAGCUAGUUGGUGAGGUAACGGCGCACCAAGGCAACGAUGCGUAGCCGACCUGAGAGGGUGAUCGGUCACACUGGGACUGAGACACGGCCCAGACUCCUACGGGAGGCAGCAGUAGGGAAUCUUCCGCAAUGGACGAAAGUCUGACGGAGCAACGCCGCGUGAGUGAUGAAGGCUUUCGGGUCGUAAAACUCUGAUGUUAGGGAAGAACAAGUGCUAGUUGAAUAAGCUGGCACCUUGACGGUACCUAACCAGAAAGCCACGGCUAACUACGUGCCAGCAGCCGCCGUAA